rnacentral:tRNA from 1 species
GCCCACGUAGCUCAGCUGGCAGAGCACGUCAUUGGUAAUGACGAGGUCACCGGUUCAAGUCCGGUCGUGGGCUCCA